CACAAAGUAAACUAGUAAUAA
rnacentral:piRNA from 1 species